rnacentral:rRNA from 1 species
AGAGUUUGAUCAUGGCUCAGGACGAACGCUGGCGGCACGCCUAACACAUGCAAGUCGAACGGAGAAAAUAGCUUCGGUUGUUUUCUUAGUGGCGGACGGGUGAGUAACACGUGAGGAACCUGCCUUCGAGAGUGGGAUAGCUUCUGGAAACGGAUGGUAAUACCGCAUAACAUAGCGAAACCGCAUGAUUUUGCUAUCAAAGUAUUUCGCUCAGAGAUGGCCUCGCGUCUGAUUAGAUAGUUGGUGAGGUAACGGCUCACCAAGUCGACGAUCAGUAGCCGGACUGAGAGGUUGAACGGCCACAUUGGGACUGAGACACGGCCCAGACUCCUACGGGAGGCAGCAGUGGGGGAUAUUGCACAAUGGGGGAAACCCUGAUGCAGCGAUGCCGCGUGGAGGAAGAAGGUUUUCGGAUUGUAAACUCCUGUCGUAAGGGAAGAGGAAGGACUGUACCUUACAAGAAAGCUCCGGCUAACUACGUGCCAGCAGCCGCGGUAAUACGUAGGGAGCGAGCGUUGUCCGGAAUGACUGGGUGUAAGGGGAGCGUAGGCGGGAUGGCAAGUCAGAUGUGAAACCUGAGGGCUCAACCUUCAGACUGCAUUUGAAACUGCUGUUCUUGAGUGAAGUAGAGGUAAGCGGAAUUCCUGGUGUAGCGGUGAAAUGCGUAGAGAUCAGGAGGAACAUCGGUGGCGAAGGCGGCUUACUGGGCUUUUACUGACGCUGAGGCUCGAAAGCGUGGGGAGCAAACAGGAUUAGAUACCCUGGUAGUCCACGCUGUAAACGAUGAUUACUAGGUGUGGGGGGAUUGACCCCUUCCGUGCCGCAGUUAACACAAUAAGUAAUCCACCUG